UAAAGCGGGUGAAAAGCCCGCUCGCCGGAAGACCAAGGGUUCCUGUCCAACGUUAAUCGGGGCAGGGUGAGUCGACCCCUAAGGCGAGGCCGAAAGGCGUAGUCGAUGGGAAACAGGUUAAUAUUCCUGUACUUGGUGUUACUGCGAAGGGGGGACGGAGAAGGCUAUGUUAGCCGGGCGACGGUUGUCCCGGUUUAAGCAUGUAGGCUGGUUAUCCAGGCAAAUCCGGAUAAUCAAGGCUGAGGUGUGAUGACGAGGCACUACGGUGCUGAAGUAACAAAUGCCCUGCUUCCAGGAAAAGCCUCUAAGCAUCAGGUAACAUCAAAUCGUACCCCAAACCGACACAGGUGGUCAGGUAGAGAAUACCAAGGCGCUUGAGAGAACUCGGGUGAAGGAACUAGGCAAAAUGGUGCCGUAACUUCGGGAGAAGGCACGCUGGUGUGUAGGUGAAGUCCCUGCGGAUGGAGCUGAGACCAGUCGAAGAUACCAGCUGGCUGCAACUGUUUAUUAAAAACACAGCACUGUGCAAACACGAAAGUGGACGUAUACGGUGUGACGCCUGCCCGGUGCCGGAAGGUUAAUUGAUGGGGUUAUCCGUAAGGAGAAGCUCUUGAUCGAAGCCCCGGUAAACGGCGGCCGUAACUAUAACGGUCCUAAGGUAGCGAAAUUCCUUGUCGGGUAAGUUCCGACCUGCACGAAUGGCGUAAUGAUGGCCAGGCUGUCUCCACCCGAGACUCAGUGAAAUUGAACUCGCUGUGAAGAUGCAGUGUACCCGCGGCAAGACGGAAAGACCCCGUGAACCUUUACUAUAGCUUGACACUGAACAUUGAGCCUUGAUGUGUAGGAUAGGUGGGAGGCUUUGAAGCGUGGACGCCAGUCUGCGUGGAGCCAACCUUGAAAUACCACCCUUUAAUGUUUGAUGUUCUAACGUUGGCCCCUUAUCGGGGUUGCGGACAGUGUCUGGUGGGUAGUUUGACUGGGGCGGUCUCCUCCCAAAGCGUAACGGAGGAGCACGAAGGUUAGCUAAUCCUGGUCGGACAUCAGGAGGUUAGUGCAAUGGCAUAAGCUAGCUUGACUGCGAGCGUGACGGCGCGAGCAGGUGCGAAAGCAGGUCAUAGUGAUCCGGUGGUUCUGAAUGGAAGGGCCAUCGCUCAACGGAUAAAAGGUACUCCGGGGAUAACAGGCUGAUACCGCCCAAGAGUUCAUAUCGACGGCGGUGUUUGGCACCUCGAUGUCGGCUCAUCACAUCCUGGGGCUGAAGUAGGUCCCAAGGGUAUGGCUGUUCGCCAUUUAAAGUGGUACGCGAGCUGGGUUUAGAACGUCGUGAGACAGUUCGGUCCCUAUCUGCCGUGGGCGCUGGAGAAUUGAGGGGGGCUGCUCCUAGUACGAGAGGACCGGAGUGGACGCAUCACUGGUGUUCGGGUUGUCAUGCCAAUGGCACUGCCCGGUAGCUAAAUGCGGAAGAGAUAAGUGCUGAAAGCAUCUAAGCACGAAACUUGCCCCGAGAUGAGUUCUCCCUGAGACUUUAAGUCUCCUGAAGGAACGUUAAAGACGAUGACGUUGAUAGGCCGGGUGUGUAAGCGCAGCGAUGCGUUGAGCUAACCGGUACUAAUGAACCGUGAGGCUUAACCUU
rnacentral:rRNA from 1 species